CGCUUUUCGACGUUUAGGGUUCAAUCUUUAAGGGCGUUUACGGGAAGAGGAGAAACUGAAUUCGGUGUGGCUUCCGAGGGGCGGUGUUCAUCUCCGUUUCAAAGCCGAAGAGGAAGUGCUUCUGAGGACGACUCCGUGAUCUUCAUGGUCAUGUGGACGGCAUGACUAAAUGCCAAAGGCACACGGAACAGAAAGGUUUCCUAUUAAGAAUUCUGAAAAAUUAUCUACUUCACCCAUCUUUACCAUUCCAUGCAACUUUAUGAGGGAAAUUCCGCUGCCAAAGCAUGUCCAAGGGGAAGUUAGCUUUAUUGGUGUGUAAGAAGAAAUAUCCUUCUGGGUUCUGCUCCAAGUGGGGAAAAAGA